rnacentral:rRNA from 1 species
UACGAAGGGUGCAAACGUUGCUCGGAAUUAUUGGGCGUAAAGCGCACGUAGGCGGCCAACUAAGUCGGAUGUGAAAUCCCCAAGCUUAACUUGGGAACUGCAUCCGAUACUGGAUGGCUUGAAUCCGGGAGGGGGAUGCAGAAUUCCAGGUGUAGCGGUGAAAUGCGUAGAUAUCUGGAGGAAUACCGGUGGCGAAGGCGGCAUCCUGGACCGGCAUUGACGCUGAGGAGCGAAAGCUAGGGGAGCAAACGGG